UAACAGUGAAACAUAGCUUCAACAAGUCCCUCUCUAGCUUCCAGGGCAUUUUGGAGGGUUUAUUCAUUUAGUUUAUCCUUCAUGAAAUGUUCUGGCCUUCUUCUCAGCAUAAGUUGUGAACACUUGAAUGAUUGAUCUUAACCUUGAAUGGUAUAUUUCUUUUCCACUCCUGAUUUACUGUAUUUAAUGUAAGAGUGUUUGCCUUAAUUUACUUCAGGUUUGACAUAGAAAAUUUUACUAUAUUUAGAGUCUGAGAGAUUGGUAAAAAUCAAUGGAGUAUAACCAAUGGUUAUCCAAAAAGGAGUGAUUUCUCAGCAUGGCAGUAUUAGUUAGUCAAGGGUAAAUGUAGCCAAAAGUAGCUCAACAGCUAAAAGUCACAUUUAAAUAGUAAUGGUAUAUUGACAUGAAGUCUUUCAAGCCAAAAAUAGACAGGGUGUGGCAAGACAGCAGAGCCCCUGAUUGCUGUAUUCCAGUUGGCAGUAUUAUAAAAGAGAAGAACUCAAAAUUAAAAAAUAAACCCGAACACAGGAAAUUCUUUUCAGUCUGAUGUGUACUCACAACAUUUUACUGGUAUAAAAAGCAAGUGUAGCUUCUCCCAUCUACUUUUCACUACUGUUGGCCAUAACUUCAGAACCCCAGAAAUGAUACAGAAAGUUACUAUAGCACUACCAAUAAAUAAAUAAAUAAAUAAAUAAAUAAAUAAAUUCAUUACAAUCCUGGGCCACUAGCUGAUUUAUCAAAAAGCAAUGAUCAGAGUCAAUCAUAUAAUAUCCCACUGACUUCCCAGCCUUUCUAGAGAUCUGUUUAUUGAGAAGCCUGGAUAAGGCAACUCUUCAUGAGCAGUGUCUUCAUGCCCCAGGUAAUGCUGAUAUUCUCUUUGCAAAGAAGGUUUCCAUUGUUUCCAGUGGAUCAGAAUCUUCUACAGCCUUAUAAGAGAGAGAUAAGCAUUUUCAAAGCAUGGCAUGAGGUUUAAUUUCCUGAUACUUGUUCAAAAUCAUCCAUUGGUUUUAAUAGCAAAAUGCCUGCUGUCAUAAAUAAAUAACCAUACAGAUUUUUGGACAAGUCUUUUCUGUGUGAGUGUGACACACUGUUAUCUCAAA